rnacentral:rRNA from 1 species
AUGUCCUACGGGAGGCAGCAGUGGGGAAUAUUGCACAAUGGGGGAAACCCUGAUGCAGCGACGCCGCGUGAGUGAAGAAGUAUUUCGGUAUGUAAAUCUCUAUCAGCAGGGAAGAAAAAAGACGGUACCUGACUAAGAAGCCCCGGCUAACUACGUGCCAGCAGCCGCGGUAAUACGGGGGGUGCAAGCGUUGUCCGGAAUCAUUGGGCGUAAAGCGUUCGUAGGCGGCAAGGUAAGUCUGAUGUUAAAGCCCGGGGCUCAACUCCGGUUCGGCAUUGGAUACUAUCUAGCUAGAAUGUGGUAGG